rnacentral:rRNA from 1 species
GACGAAGGGGGCUAGCGUUGUUCGGAAUUACUGGGCGUAAAGCGCGUGUAGGCGGUUGUUCAAGUCAGGUGUGAAAGCCUUGAGCUCAACUCAAGAAAUGCACUUGAUACUGGAUGACUAGAGGACCGGAGAGGAUAGUGGAAUUCCCAGUGUAGUGGUGAAAUACGUAGAGAUUGGGAAGAACACCAGUGGCGAAGGCGGCUAUCUGGACGGUUUCUGACGCUAAGACGCGAAAGCGUGGGGAGCAA